UAUAUAUAUAUUUUUUUUCGUUUUCUCUCUUUAAUCAUAUUGUACAUAAUUAAAAUUGGGUGAACUUUUAUUUUUUUAUUUUUUUUUAUUUUUUUAGAGAUAGGUAACACGCUACCCGUUUCGUUUAUUUCAUUUAGAAAUAAACUUAGCCAGAAAUGUAAAUCAACUAUGAUUCGAACUUGAGCCUCGGGUACCUUUUUGGUAGGAUAUAAUACUUUUUCUUUGUGCCUUUUAUU
rnacentral:lncRNA from 1 species